rnacentral:tRNA from 1 species
CACAGGUGAGUUUGGUGGAAUAUGGGCUUUGGGGGCUUGAGGGGAAAUUGUGA